GUGAAUCAUCAAAUCUUUGAACGCAAAUUGCACUCUCUGGCAUUCCGGGGAGUAUGCCUGUUUGAGGGUCAGUAUAAUCAAAAUCGGAGCGAUGCUUUUUGGGUGUCGCACCGGUGUUUGGGUCAUCUUAACUCUUUUUUUUACGAUACCUAAAAUUAACAUUCUUUUUUGCUUACUUUUGAUCCGUACAUAGUUUUUUUUUAUUCGUCUACCCUGGUGGCAAAUAUUUAGUUAGUUCGUGAUUCAGGUAGAGUGAACUC
rnacentral:misc_RNA from 1 species